CCUCGCGCGGGGGAGGAGCGGGCGGCGCGGGGCGGGCGCAGUGGGGGUCGGGGCGCUGGGAGCCCGUUGGGCCGCGAAAGCAGCCGCCACGCCGGGUUCGCCGAGAUCGGGUGCCCGGGAUGAGCCUCAUCCGGAAAAAGGGCUUCUACAAGCAGGAUGUCAACAAGACCGCCUGGGAGCUGCCCAAGACCUACGUGUCCCCGACGCACAUCGGCAGCGGGGCCUAUGGCGCCGUGUGCUCGGCCAUCGACAAGCGGUCAGGGGAGAAGGUGGCCAUCAAGAAGCUGAGCCGGCCCUUUCAGUCCGAGAUCUUCGCCAAGCGCGCCUACCGGGAGCUGCUGCUGCUGAAGCAUAUGCAGCAUGAGAACGUCAUUGGGCUCCUGGAUGUCUUCACCCCAGCCUCCUCCCUGCGCAACUUCCAUGACUUCUACCUGGUGAUGCCCUUCAUGCAGACAGAUCUGCAGAAGAUCAUGGGGAUGGAGUUCAGUGAGGAGAAGAUCCAGUACCUGGUGUAUCAGAUGCUCAAAGGCCUUAAGUACAUCCACUCGGCUGGGGUCGUGCACAGGGACCUGAAGCCAGGCAAUCUGGCUGUGAACGAGGACUGUGAACUGAAGAUUCUGGAUUUUGGGCUGGCGCGACAUGCAGACGCCGAGAUGACUGGCUACGUGGUGACCCGCUGGUACCGGGCCCCCGAGGUGAUCCUCAGCUGGAUGCACUACAACCAGACGGUGGACAUCUGGUCUGUGGGCUGUAUCAUGGCAGAGAUGCUGACAGGGAAAACUCUGUUCAAGGGGAAAGAUUACCUGGACCAGCUGACCCAGAUCCUGAAAGUGACCGGGGUGCCUGGCACGGAGUUUGUGCAGAAGCUGAACGACAAAGCGGCCAAAUCCUACAUCCAGUCCCUGCCGCAGACCCCCAGGAAGGAUUUCACUCAGCUCUUCCCACGGGCCAGCCCCCAGGCUGCAGACCUGCUGGAGAAGAUGCUGGAGCUAGACGUGGACAAGCGCCUGACAGCCGCGCAGGCCCUCACCCAUCCCUUCUUUGAGCCCUUCCGGGACCCUGAGGAAGAGACGGAGGCCCAGCAGCCGUUUGAUGAUUCCUUAGAACACGAGAAACUCACAGUGGAUGAAUGGAAGCAGCACAUCUACAUGGAGAUUGUGAACUUCAGCCCCAUUGCCCGGAAGGACUCGCGGCGCCGGAGUGGCAUGAAGCUGUAGGGACUCAUCUCGCAUGGCACUGCCAGCCAGACACUGCCCAAGGACCUGUAUUUAUUUGUCACUACCAAACUCAGCCCUUCUUGGAAUACAGCCUUUCAAGCAGAGGACAGAAGGGUCCUUCUCAUGUGGGAAAUGGACCUAGUAGAUGCAGAAUUCAAAGAUGUUGGUUGGGAGAAACUAGCUCUGAUCCUAACAGGCCACGUUAAACUGCCCAUCGGGAGAAUCGCCUGCAGGCGGGGUUUCUCUAUGUUGCUCAGGCUGAUCUUGAACUUCUGGACUCAAGUGAUCCUCCCACUUUGGCCUCCCAAAGUACUGGGAUUAUAGGCAUGAGCCACCCUGCAGGCCCAGACAGCAUUUUUAAGGCCUUGAAACUCUUCUGUAUAAUACUGUAAUGGUGGAUACCUAUUGUGCAUCUGUUACCAUCUGUAGGACUGGAUAACACAGAGUGAACCCUCAAGUAAACUAUGGACUUCAGUUAAUAAUAAUGUAUCAGUAUUGGUUCAUAAAUUGUAACAAUUGUGCCACACUAAUGCAAGAUGUUACUCAUCAGGAAAACUGAGGAGAGAGAAGGGGAGGAAGUACGUGGGAACCUCUGUACUUUCUGCCAACCUAAAACUGCUCUAAAAAAUAAAUAACAGGCCGGGCACAGUAGCUCAUGCCUGUAAUCCCAGCACUAAGGGAGGCUGAGGCGGGCAGAUCACUUGAGGUCAGGAGUUCCAGACCAGCCUGGCCAACAUGGUGAAACCCCAUCUCUACUAAAAAUACAAAAAUUAGCUGGGUGUGAUGGUGCAUGCCUGUAAUCCCAAGCUACUCGGGAGGCUGAGGCAGAAUUGCUUGAACCUGGGAGGCGGAGGUUGCACUGAGUUGAGAUCACACCACUGCACUCCAGCCUGGGUGACAGAGUGAGACUCCAUCUCAAAAAAACAAAACAAAACAAAACAAAAAACAAAUACCCUGAGGCCACAGAGACAUUGGGUCAGAUACCCACAGCUAGGAAGUGGUGGAGUCAGAUUGGAACCCAAGUAGGCUUAAGCACUGUGCCCAGUUUGGAUUCAAGGGUUGCCCAGCCUUCCCUCUUCUCGCCAGUCUCUCUGAGACCCUUACUGCUGACUGUGUGGAUGGUCUCUGUCUUCUGUCCCACAGAAUGGCCCUGCUGUCAAGGAGUUGGGGAGUCCUUGAUUGGGACUGGCUAGUCUUGCCACAGCCCUGGCCUCGCUGGUUACUAAACUGCCCCAGGUUCCCUGAGUCUACAUCCCUCUAAGUCUCCUGAGAAUUCUCACUGCCCCAAGGAAAAAGUCCAGCCUUCCUUCUUUGCCUGGCAUUCAAAACCCCUUGUGUUCUCUCUAAUCUCAUCAGCUCCCACUGCCUCCCCUAGCUAGUCCUUAUGUCAGUGUGGGACACCAGUCCUGGGAUCCACUGUAAGGUUCAUUCUGCAUUCACAGGUUAAAGGUCUUGACAAGUCCUGCAGUAAAGAGAUCCAUUCCUCAUUUAAUCCAGAACUUCCCAGAUGUACUUAACCACAGGACCCAUUUUCUCCCAACAGCAUGACACACAAAGCCUUUUUUGCCCAGUGCAGCCCAGUGCACAGGUCCCGAUAUUGCCUCUCCCCAAGUAGGCUUGGCCUUCUUUUAGUGCCUGUGCAUGGAAGGCCCUCAAUUCUCCUCUCCAUUCUCCUUGGCCUUCAAGGCUCUACCUUAGGCCUCCCUCCAGGCAGCUGUUCUUCAUCAUCCCCCCUGGGCUGCAGGACCUCUGUGGGCAGCAUUUACAGUAUGUGGUUUGGCCUCCCCUUCCCGUUGCCUACUGUGAGCAAAUAUCUGUGCGUGAAUGAAUGAAUAAUGAGUGAAUGUUGUCCCAGGGGCCUGUCGGUCACUUCUUUGCCCCGACCAGGCCAAUGUCAUAUGGAAGGUGGCAGAGAGCACAGCAGGAAGCAGAAGUGGGUGGCCCUGGGCUGUACCUUUGAGCUGCUCUCCCGAAAAUCUCUGUUCUUUCAGACUCCCAGACCGCCCCCCCCAUCAUCCCUUGGUGUCCUCCUAGGCCUUCCCCACUCCGGAAUUAAACCUCAGCCCCCUCCCACAGAGUUUUCUCAAACCUGUGAAGUUUCUUCAAAAGGUGGUGGAGGUACUCAGCAGUGCAAGGUGGGGGGUGGAGGGGUUGGGGAGUAGAGGGAGUGGGGGUCCCAUGGGUUUGGGUCUUGCCCAGUGGGCACAUGGCCUGUGUAAUAGGAAACAAGUCCAUUCUCCUGCUGUUUGGGGGCAGAGGAGCUGGCGGGGCGGGGGAGGGGGAGAUGUGGGGUCAGGUAUUCUUGGUGGUUGGGCUUCAUUCUGUGGCUGAUGGGGUGGCUUAAAAGAUCUUAACAGAGAGAGAUCAGGAAGCCAGACUGCAAGGUGGGGGACAUUUCCUAAGAGCAAGUGUACCCUCUAUUCCCUCUUUUGAGGAACAAAGAGUAUCUUUGCUGGGGCCCAAGUCAUCCAUGAGAACAGACAGCAGCGGUGUCCCAGGGCAGGGCUUGCCUGGCAUGGAUUGGGGUGGCACUGCUCCCAGUGAGGGGCAGCACAAGGGGAGACAGAAAUGGAGGAACAGCUCCGUAAAGGUGAGCCCAGUGUGCACCGGUGCCCAGAGCUGCCUGAUGGAGGAAGAGCUCCGUAAGGGCGAGCCCAGUGUGCAUGGGUGCCCUGAGCUGCCUGCGUGAGGCUGGAGGCUAGUUUGGAUGAGGGCAUGGCUCAACUUUCACUUGGCACAUUGAAAUAGCUUUUGCUGUCUGCUAGGGUGUGGAAAACUGUUUUUCCAUGGCCCCAAGCAGUGCUAUAGCCACAGCUGAGGAGGGAGGAAUCUCUCCCUGCCUCUCCUCCCAACUCUUGGCUUUUGCUUCCUUAAAUUUGGUUGAAACAAUUCCCUAAGAUCUAAUGCUGGGAGGCUCCCCUUCCUUCAUUACACAGUGAACUCAGGUGCUCUAUCUGCAUUCUCCCUAAAUCCUCCUGAGCUUUUAGGUAAGAGGCCAGUGAUUUCACAAUCGGCAGCAGAGGCCUAAGGCCAUUCCAUCAAACUGAAGAUGGCAGCAAGUUGUCCUCACUUCUUCAUUGAGCACCUAUGGGCGUGUACUGGAGCAAGGAUGGUGCCAGGGAUUCUCCUGCUCUGGUUCCUCCUGCAGGGUCCCUGCUCAGCUGGGCAGCUGCCCUCACUCUGGGCGGGUGGCAUGUGAAUGUCAACAGGGCCCCUCUCAGUCAGGGCUCUUGGCCAUUUUUUGUGCCAUGGAUCGCUUCUCAAAAUCAUAUUUUCUUUUCUUUUCUUUUGAGAUGGAGUCUCACUCCAUUGCCCAGGCUGGAGUGCAGUGGUGCAAUCAGCUCACUGCAGCCUCGACCUCCCUGGGUUCAGGUGAUCCUCCCACCUCAGCCUCCCAAGUAGCUGGGACUAUAGGCAUGCACCACCAUGCCCGGCUAAUUUCAGAAUAAUAUUUUCAUACACAUAAACUAUGUAGGAUUACAAAGUAAGCUAGUUAUAUUUAUAUACAGUUGUCAAAAUAUUUUUAAAAUAAUAUAAUGUGGUACUAUGUGCAUAGGUUUCUUUAUUAACAUAUUUGAAUAACAAGAUCAAGGGGUAGGCCUAUUAAACAAUGGUAAAUUGAAGUAGAGAUGAGUGUAAACAAUAUUUUAAGAUACCUGUGGCAAACUAAAGGGAUAUGAAAAACUCUGUGAUUUCUAUUGGCGCUGCUGAUACAACUGCACUUUGCUACCUUUGUUCAUAACCAAGGAAAUAGAAAUGACUGAAAAUAAAGUUGUAUUCUAUUCCAA